rnacentral:rRNA from 1 species
UACGUAGGGUGCAAGCGUUGCCCGGAUUUAUUGGGCGUAAAGGGCGCGCAGGCGGCUACGCACGUCCGUUGUGAAAUCGCUCGGCUCAACUGGGCGGGGUCGGCGGAUACGGCGUAGCUGGAGCAAGCUAGGGGGCAAUGGAAUUCCCGGUGUAGUGGUGGAAUGCGUAGAUAUCGGGAGGAACACCAGUGGCGAAGGCGGUUGCCUGGAGCUUUGCUGACGCUGAGGCGCGAAAGCGAUGGGGAGCGAG